GACGAACGCUGGCGGCGUGCUUAACACAUGCAAGUCGAACGGAAAGGCCCUGCUUUUGUGGGGUGCUCGAGUGGCGAACGGGUGAGUAACACGUGAGUAACCUGCCCUUGACUUUGGGAUAACUUCAGGAAACUGGGGCUAAUACCGGAUAGGAGCUCCUGCUGCAUGGUGGGGGUUGGAAAGUUUCGGCGGAUGGGGAUGGACUCGCGGCUUAUCAGCUUGUUGGUGGGGUAGUGGCUUACCAAGGCUUUGACGGGUAGCCGGCCUGAGAGGGUGACCGGCCACAUUGGGACUGAGAUACGGCCCAGACUCCUACGGGAGGCAGCAGUGGGGAAUAUUGCACAAUAGGCGGAAGCCUGAUACAGCAACGCCGCGUGCGGAAUGACGGCCUUCGGGUUGUAAACCGCUUUCGCCUGUGACGAAGCGUGAGUGACGGUAAUGUAUAAAGAAGCACCGGCUAACUACGUG
rnacentral:rRNA from 1 species